rnacentral:rRNA from 1 species
GGUGGAGCGAUUUGUCUGGUUAAUUCCGAUAACGAACGAGACUCUGGCCUAUUAAAUAGACGAUAUAUCGAAAAGUAUAUUGCACUUCUUAGAGGGACAAGCGGCGUCUAGCCGCAUGAAAUAGAGCAAUAACAGGUCUGUGAUGCCCUUAGAUGUCCGGGGCUGCACGCGCGCUACACUGAAAGAAUCAGAGUGCGCUUUGCCUAGUUCGGAAGAACUGGGUAACCCAAGUAAAUUCUUUCGUGCUUGGGAUAGGGAAUUGCAAUUAUUUCCCUUAAACGAGGAAUUCCCAGUAAAUGCGGGUCAUAAGCUCGCGUUGAAUACGUCCCUGCCCUUUGUAC